rnacentral:piRNA from 1 species
UGUGGAGUACUUCCGGCCUGGCUUGGA